GAUUAGAUACCCUGGUAGUCCACGCCGUAAACGAUGAGUGCUAAGUGUUGGAGGGUUUCCGCCCUUCAGUGCUGCAGCUAACGCAUUAAGCACUCCGCCUGGGGAGUACGACCGCAAGGUUGAAACUCAAAGGAAUUGACGGGGGCCCGCCCAAGCGGUGGAGCAUGUGGUUUAAUUCGAAGCAACGCGAAGAACCUUACCAGGUCUUGACAUCCUUUGACCACUCUAGAGAUAGAGCUUCCCCUUCGGGGGCAAAGUGACAGGUGGUGCAUGGUUGUCGUCAGCUCGUGUCGUGAGAUGUUGGGUUAAGUCCCGCAACGAGCGCAACCCUUAUUGUUAGUUGCCAUCAUUCAGUUGGGCACUCUAGCAAGACUGCCGGUGACAAACCGGAGGAAGGUGGGGAUGACGUCAAAUCAUCAUGCCCCUUAUGACCUGGGCUACACACGUGCUACAAUGGGAAGUACAACGAGUUGCGAAGUCGCGAGGCUAAGCUAAUCUCUUAAAGCUUCUCUCAGUUCGGAUUGCAGGCUGCAACUCGCCUGCAUGAAGCCGGAAUCGCUAGUAAUCGCGGAUCAGCACGCCGCGGUGAAUACGUUCCCGGGCCUUGUACACACCGCCCGUCACACCACGAGAGUUUGUAACACCCGAAGUCGGUGAGGUAACCUUUUGGAGCCAGCCGCCUAAGGUGGGAUAGAUGAUUGGGGUGAAGUCGUAACAAGGUAGCCGUAUCGGAAGGUGCGGCUG
rnacentral:rRNA from 1 species